rnacentral:pre_miRNA from 13 species
AAAGACAUGAGAGAAGUUGAGGUAGGCUCAGUAGAUGCGAACGUAAAUGAGCCCACAUCGGCCUUUCACAUCCACUUGCCUUCCUCGCCUUUCCAAAUGUUUCACUUUUCAAUU